GAUCAUGGCUCAGAACGAACGCUGGUGGCGUGUCUUAUACAUGCAAGUCGAGCGAGGCAGCAAUGCCGAGCGGCGAACGGGUGAGUAACGCGUAGGCAAUCUGCCCCAUAUCAGGAAAUACCCGUGCCAACGCGCGGUUAAAUGUCCAGGAGAGUGGCCCUCUGCAUGGAGGGUUGAACUAGAGAUUUAUCGGUAUGGGAUGAGCUUGCGUCCGAUUAGCUAGUUGGCGGGGCAACGGCCCACCAAGGCGACGAUCGGUAGCCGGCCUGAGAGGGUGAUCGGCCACAUUGGGACUGAGAUACGGCCCAGACUCCUACGGGAGGCAGCAGUAGGGAAUAUUGCACAAUGGGGGAAACCCUGAUGCAGCAACGCCACGUGUUGGGAAGAAGCAUUUCGGUGUGUAAACCACUGUCAUGAGGGAAUAAGGCCUGUCUUCGGGCAGGAUUGAAUGUACCUUGAGAGGAAGCACCGGCAAACUUCGUGCCAGCCGCCGC
rnacentral:rRNA from 1 species